rnacentral:rRNA from 1 species
AACGUAGGAGACAAACGUUAUCCGGAUUUAUUGGGCGUAAAGAGCUCGUAGGUGGUUCGGUAAGUCGGAUGUGAAAUCUCCAGGCUCAACCUGGAGGGGUCAUUCGAUACUGCCGUGACUAGAGGUCGGUAGGGGAGUGUGGAAUUCCUGGUGGAGCGGUGAAAUGCGCAGAUAUCAGGAGGAACACCCGUAGCGAAGGCGGCACUCUGGGCCGAUACUGACACUGAGGAGCGAAAGCGUGGGGAGCGAACAGG